UACGAAGGGGGCUAGCGUUGCUCGGAAUCACUGGGCGUAAAGCGCACGUAGGCGGCUUGUUAAGUCAGGGUGAAAUCCUGGAGCUCAACUCCAGAACUGCCUUUGAUACUGGCGAGCUUGAGUCCGGGAGAGGUGAGUGGAACUGCGAGUGUAGAGGUGAAAUUCGUAGAUAUUCGCAAGAACACCAGUGGCGAAGGCGGCUCACUGGCCCGGUACUGACGCUGAGGUGCGAAAGCGUGGGAGCAACAGG
rnacentral:rRNA from 1 species